rnacentral:tRNA from 1 species
GGGGGUAUAGCUCAGUGGUAGAGUGCUUGCUUAGCAUUUGCAAGGUCCUGUGUUCAGUCCCCAAUACCUCCA